AGCUCCAAUAGCGUAUAUUAAAGUUGUUGCGGUAAAAAGCUCGUAGUUGGAUUUCUGUUGAGAAUGAUCGGUCCAUACCAUGUAUGCGCAUCUGAUUCAGUCUCGGCAUCCUUUCGUAAUACUACUCUGCGCUUGAUUGCGUGGAUAGGAAUACGGAACUUUUACUUUGAGGAAAUUAGAGUGUUCACGGCAGGCCAACGCCCGAAUACGUUAGCAUGGAAUAAUAAUAUAGGAUCUCGGUUCUAUUUUGUUGGUUUCUAGAAUUGAGGUAAUGAUUAAUAGGGACAAUUGGGGGCAUUUGUAUUAACACGUCAGAGGUGGAAUUCUUGGAUUGUGUUACGACAAACUACUGCGAAAGCAUUUGCCAAGGAUGUUUUCA
rnacentral:rRNA from 1 species